AGGAUGGAGAGCAGGGAGGAGGGAAGGGGGAGGAGGGAGAGAGGGAGGAAAGAGAAGGGAGUAGGAGGGUGGAGGAGGGAGAAAAGGGGGAGGAGGGAGAGAGAGGGGAAAAAAAGGAGGAAAGAGAAGGGAGUAGGAGGGUGGAGGAGGGAGAAAAGGGGAGCAGGGAAAGAAGGGAGAAGAAGGAGGUAAAGGAGGAGGAGGGAUGGGGGAGGGAGAGGAGAAGAAAGAGGAAGGAGACGGAAGAGGAGGACGGAGGAGCGGGUGUCAAGGCCAGACUUUGGGAACCAAGGUGUGAGCCCUAUUAGCUUCAGCCCAUCCUGACACACCGUACAGAGAAUGCAGAGUCCAGAGAGGGCACCCAAGUCUGCAAGGUUGCACAGGCCCAGUGCAGCCAAAGGGCCUCACCUGUGCGGCUGCUCCUGCCUGUGGAAGCAGGAGCUCCCUGAGUCCCCACAGCGACCUUCAGACAAGUGUCAUCUGGCACAUUUCUCAGAAGAGGAGACUGAGCGCCCAGAGGUGGAAAGAGAUACCGGAGGCAGAAUCGUGCUGCAAGGGACAGGAAGAGUCACCGGUCUCCGAGCUGUGAGUAUGAGCAGCCACAAGGCUGAAGCUGCCAUUUCUGAGGCCGGAAGGCUGCAGGCAGGGCUGGGGGGGAGGUUGGAAUGAAGACCUGUCUUGUUUGAGGCUAACGAGCUGGGAGCCUCACCCAAGGCACACAGGCUCCAGGCGGGAAGUUGGCGACAAGUCGCGGACUGUGGUUUUCACCCGCCUCACGGGGCCCCUCAUCCUCUCCCCCAACUUCCCCUCAUGCCCCAGUGGAGCCAGCUUUGUUUGUUUCCCUCCCAUCAUCCGUUUCAUGAUGGGGAAGGCUGGUUUUCCCCUAACCCAGCAGACACCUCUUCCUCCGCCGGUCCCUGACCCUCCCACCCCGGGAAGCCCCAAGCGAACCUCCCAGAAUGUCCCGGCAGGAUGGGGCUGCUGCUACCGUUCAUCCAGCCAGAUGAACCCCAAAAGGGGAAGUGGGUCACCCGCGGUCACCCGGCCCGUGGUCAGCUCAGCACUUCAGGAUCUCCUCUCCUCACCGCCCACCACAGCCCAGGGAGGAUCUCCAUGCCCGUCUCUCGUUCUCCCCACGUUUCACAUGAGAAAACAGGGGCUCCCAGAGAGGCCCACACUCACCUAAGACGCUCCAAUGAUGGGGGCGUCUGGAUUUGAAUCCAGGUCCUGGCAGAUGCUGUAAGCUCAGAGGAGAAGGCAGAGAGGGAGAACAGAGCCCAGCCCUGCCCUCCCAGAUCCAGAGGGGAGGCUGACUUGUCCCCAGGUAAUAACGGCCCAGCAGUGGUCAGAGCCUGGGACAGAGGAGCCCAGGAGGCUGCAGGAGCUCAGAGCAGGUACCUGACCCAGGCUGAGGUCAAGGAGGCUUCCUGGAGGAGAGGACAGCUCACCUGAUAUCUAGAAGAUGAGUGGGGGUGACUAGGUACAAAUGCUGCAGAGACAGGGAAAAGCCCAGGGUUGAGAGGGAACCGAGGGGCUUCCAGAAAGGCACAGCAGCUCACUUCUGUAAUCCCAGCGCUUUGGGAGGCCGAGGCGGGCAGAUCACCCAAGGGCGGGAGUUCGAGACCAGCUUGGGCAACAUGGAGAAACCCCAUCUCUACUAAAAUACAAAAAUUAGCCAGGUAUGGUGGCAUGCAUCCAUAAUCCCAGCUACUCGGGAGGCUGAGGCACGAGAAUUGCCUGAAUUCGAAAGGUGGAGGUUACAGUGAGUUGAGAUUGCGCCACUGCACUCCAGCCUGGGUGACAAAGUAAGGCUCCAUCUCUCUCUCAAAAAAAAAAAGAGGGCUAGGCGCAGUGGCUUAUGCCUGCAAUCCCAGCACUUUGGGAGGCCGAGGCAGGCAGAUCACGAGGUCAAGAGGUCAAGACCAUCCUGGCCAACAUGACGAAACCCAUCUCUACAAAAAAUACAAAAAUUAGCUGGGUGUGGUGGCAUGCACCUGUAGUCCCAGCUACUCGGGAGGCUGAGGCAGAAGAAUCUCUUGAACCUGGGAGGCAGUGGUUGCAGUGAGCCACGCCACUGCACUCUAGCCUGGGUGACAGAGCAAGACGCUGUCUCAAAAAAAAAAAAAAAGAGGGAACCUAGGGACUUCUAAAUCUGACCGUGUCCUAGCCCUGAUUAAGCUCUGCUACAGCUGCCCUAGCAAACUCUUCAGCUUGGCAUUCAUUCAUUCAUUCACUCAUUCAUUCAAUCAACAUUCCCUGGAGUGCAUUGUCAGUGUCAGGCCCCACGGGAACACAGCAGUGACCACGACAGCCCCCCCGGACCGUGAUGCUGACCAGGGGUCUCAUGAAGGAGGAGACAUCUAAGACCUGAAAGAGGAGUAGGAGCGAUGCUGGGGAAGAGGCAGGGAAUGGUGUUCCUGGCAGAGGGAACAGGCUGUGCAAGGGCCUGAAGGUAACUUCUGCAUAUGACACCUUUGAGAAACUACUCAUUGGUGAGCUGAAGCAUAGGGUCGUUCAGAAGAGGCCAGCCUUGUGGCCGGCCGUGGACUUCCUCUCAGGGCACUGGGGAGCCGCCGGAGGGUCAGGAGCAAGGGAGAGGCAGGGGGAGGCUUGUACUUCCGAAAGACUCCUCCGCUGCCACAUGCAGGGUGAAUGGAGAACUGGUGAACUGGAUGCGCAGAAUCCAGUGUCAGGGGUCGCUUGGGACUUGGACCCGGCUCCCCGGGAGAGAGUCCGAGGAGCCCUCCUCUGGUCUUCCAGGGCUGUGCUCUCCCCAAGCUCCGGAUGGAAGGCGUGGCCCAUGGCAACCGCUAGGUGGUGCCCGUACACCACCCGCCGGGUCUUUGUUUGCCAAAAGUAGAUGAGGCCCAGAGCUGGGCAGAACUGCCCCGGGUCAGGAGAGCAAAUCCCUCUCGGUCUUUCGAUCCUGGCUCCCUGGCCAGGCAUCCUGGGGCCAUUUGACUCCCGGGCUCAGGAGGGAGCUGGCUGAGCUGCAAGGAGCAUGUUCUUUGUCUCUUUUCUCACCCUGGAAUCUCACAGUGGGGCACCUUGGCUCCCUCUUCAGACAGGGGGAUUCUUACCUCCCUCAUCAGACUAGCAGGCUGUCUCCCCACCAGUUUGAGGGGCUCCCCAUUUCUAUCACUCAUUUAGAAGCUCAUCAGCUCUCCCAGAAGGUAUAGGAGCCCUUCAACACCCCCAUCAGACCGGGACUACCCAUCUCCCCCAUCAGGUUAGAAAUGUAUUGUCCCACCCAUCAAAGUAUUACUCUUGGCCAGGUGCGGUGGCUCACGCCUGUAAUCACAGCACUUCGGGAGGCCGAGGCAGACAGAUCGCCUAAGGUCAGGAGUUCAAGACCAGCCUGGCCAAUAUGGUGAAAUCCCUUCUCUACUAAAAAUACCAAAAUUAGCCGGGCAUGGCAGUGAGCACCUGUAAUCCCAGCUACUUAGGAGGCUGAAGCAGGAGAAUGGCUUGAACCCGGGAGGUGCAAGUUGCAGUGAGCCGAGAUUGCACCGCUGCACUCCAGCCUGGGCAACGGAGCAAGACUCUGACUCAAAAAUUAAUAAAUAAAUACAUUGUCACACAUCAGAAUGUUGCUCCUUACUUCCCCCAACACACCGGAAAUACAGACUGGACACUCGUUCUUGCUGCUUGGGGCUGGGGCUUCUUAUCUUCUUCAUCGGAUUUGGGCAAUCCUGUCUCCCUCUUCGGAUUUGGUGACAGCUCCUUAGUUUUUUUAUUUUUCCCUCUGUGCUGGGCAACCUUGUCCCCCACUAUCAGAUUGGGAAACUCCUUGUCUCCCAGUCAGACCAGAGGGGCAGACUUCUCCACCCUUUCAAAGGUUUCGGGGUCCUUCUUACCUCCAUGGGAAAAACCAUGCCUGUUUUCCCAAGAGGGAAACUGAGGCACGGAAAAGCAAAGUUCCACGUCUCUGUCGUGCUGUAGAUGCCCGUCUCCCCCUCCUCCCGCUCCUCUGCCCUGCCUUCCCCUGCCCCCACCCCUGCCCUGGGUAACUCCUCUGGCACCGGGAGUAGGGGAAUUUUGCCCUGCUGGCCUCUGCACCAACCGCCUCCCCUUAUUGGCAGCAUCGCCACCGGUGGUGGCCGAGGGUUAAAGUCCGGAGGGAGCUCGGGACUCAAAGCGGAUAGGGAGGGAGGAGUGACGGCCAACCCACAAUGGGGACUCCCCGGAGGUCAAGCCCUCAUGCUGCUGAAAGGCGAAGGGAUGGGCAGGACCAUGUCCCCCAGUAAGGC
rnacentral:lncRNA from 1 species